UACGGGGGGGGGCAAGCGUUGUUCGGAAUUACUGGGCGUAAAGGGCUCGUAGGCGGCCAACUAAGUCGGAUGUGAAAUCCCCAGGCUUAACCUGGGAACUGCAUCCGAUACUGGAUGGCUUGAAUCCGGGAGAGGGAUGCAGAAUUCCAGGUGUAGCGGUGAAAUGCGCAGAUAUCAGGAAGAACACCCGUGGCUAAGGCGGCUCUCUAGUACGGUACUGACGCUGAGACGCGAAAGCGUGGGGAGCGAACAGG
rnacentral:rRNA from 1 species